GCGUUUCCGCUCGUGAGCGCCCCCUCGCGGAGUGGAUGUCUGAUUCCUCCCGAAGAGAUCUCUCACUCUUUGGGGAUUCUGGUUCGAGGAGCACUCUGGGAAAACACCUCACGUGCUCCUCCCACGACAGUAUCAUGUAUUUUUGUCUGUGAAUUUUAAAAAGUGUAAAUCUGACGGAAUGAAUAAACUUCUAUAACAGAGGACGGGUAUUUUUUAGAAAAUCGGGCGCCCCCUCUCGGUUAUUGUCUGUAAUACAAUGGAGAUAACAGACGUACGAGUUCAGCAUUCCACAUUAUAAUUUUAAUAUUAUAUAAUUUUAUAAACAAAUUGCCGGUAUCCUCGACGUUUAAAUGUCUGAAUUCAGCAGAUAUUUUUCUGACUGUUGUAAUUUUCUACUUCACCACUAGAUGGCAGCAGAACAGAUUUAAACUGAUGUAAUCCAGCAGCUAAAACCCAGAAAAGGCCACAGUUUAUGCAUACGUUUGUUGAUGGGAAAUGUUGAGAUUAAAUAAAAACACUUUACAUACUUGUCAGUAAAUUUAGAGAAUAAAAAGAGGAACAGAUCAUUCUAAUAUUUAUAAAUGUCAAAUACAUGUUGUCUUAGAUUUAAUUGUUUAUUGUUGUUAUAUUACUCCAAACAUAUUUUAUUUUUUUACUUUUAUUCUUAGUAAAUAAAAAAAAAAUUAAUUUAUUUUCUUUUUUUUGCUUUUAUAAAAUUGUUCAGAAAUCCCGAAAUCUGAAAGAAAACUGUGACCCAAAAUUUGGUUCAAUUUAAGGUUUGAACCAAACUCCUUUCACUGUGUCACCUGCAGAAGUUCUCAGGUGUUCUCAGGUGUCCCUGGGGGUGGACCUUAGACAGAACCCUCCAGAACUCUCACCUGUGAGCCUCCAGGGUUCUGGAUCCCUUUAAACACCCGAGAGUUCACGUGAACCACAAACUCUAAAAAAGGCCAAAGUCGCCUCCUGCUGGAGUCUCGUGGUGUCCCGGAGAACUCUUCUGGGCCGGCUGGUUCUGUUUGCUGUGCAGAAACAAGAGCAGACCCGGUUCCGUCCAGAGCCGGACAGCAUGGAGGAGACAUGAGGAUGAAACUGGCCUCCAUGAAGACCCUCAGAGCAUCACCUCCCAGGAAAGAGCGCCACCACCCAUCAUCCACACGUCACUGCAGAUCCACGUCCUCAUGACGAACAAGGGUAAAGAGGAGCCGGACCCGCCCGGUACCACGCUCCGUCCUCGCUCUCGGGCCUCCAACCGGAGACGAUGAGGAACAGCGACGAUCCCAAAGAAACAAACUGGGAACGAGGAGGAGAUCUUCAGGAGGAAACGCCGCCGCAGUGCAGCCGGCCGGCCUCAGAGGGUGAGGCAUGGAGGGGGGAGUGUGAUGGUGCGGGAGGGACAAACUCCACAAAGAUGAGGUCAGAGCCAGAGAGCCUCCAUGGAGACACACGUGAGGCUCUGGAGCUGCAGGUUCAUCCUGAGUUAGACCAUGAAAGAGGAAACAUCUGAAGACUCAAGACGAAGAAGCCAUCUUCAUCCCUCCUUCUGGAGGCAGCAGAGAUGAAGAUGCUGAGCUUCUCUGUGGGAGGGGCCAGGAUGGAUCAGAGGAUCAGAUCAUGAUGUUCUGGAGAUCAGAUGGAGAUGUUUGGACAGGGAGGAUGAUGGGAAUACCAGGAAAGAGGAGGUUCAUGGAUGAAGGAGUAGAAGGAGGCGGAUGUGAAGACACUUUUAACUCUUCUGGUUUUGGUGAUAAUAAAACACAGAUCAGACAAAAAAGAUCUAAUUUUUUAUUCAGUUUUUCAUUUGUAAUAAAAUGAACUUUUUGGUUCCAGUUUUGUCUUAAA